CCUCCACCAUAACUCAGUUGUUCCUCAGCAGGAGGUGAUGGAAGUCCCUUACACCUUAUUUUUAUGUUGGGAACCUUUCAGAUUGCAUUUAGAUCAUGUAUUUACCAGUUUGCUUGUCAAGGUUUUGAAGCAGGGACAGUCUACUUUGAAGCAGUAUGACAAACUAGCAUGACCGACCUCUGUUCUGGAUUAGUCCAAGUCAGCAGUGCUAUCUGCAUGCUGCAAGACCACAGGCAGGAAGGGAAGAAGGAGCUCAAAUCCUUGCAACCGCAGGUACGGUAAGACCACACAGCACUUGUAGGUGAUCCAUAUACCUUCCUGGAGAGGAAAUCAGAACACUUCCCAGGACUCAGCUGUGGCCUGUCUUUGAGGAGCCAAAAGAAGGUGAAAAACACCCCCAGAACGCAUCUUGCUAACUGUGCAUCAGAGGGAAAUAUCCUGCCUAACCCCUGUGGGCAGCCAGCUGAAGCCCUGGAGCAUGAGACUUUAUUUUAACACCAGGAUGUCUUCCAGAAAGGAAAUGGGGGAGGACAACAGGAUGGAAAGAUGAAGUAUGAAAACACAUCACUGUUUCAAUUCCAAGUAAAUCUGCCACCUUCCAACUCCUGCAUGCUAUGCAGGAGAUUUAUAGGAUAGGUAUUUUCAAAUAUCACACUCAGAGGUAAAAUCAUGUUAUAAACUCCCUGCCUCUUUUUCCAUCCCUAUCCAACAUUUCCUAUUCAGCAGCAGCAGAAGGAACUUCUAACAAAGAACAUAAAACAAGGUAGAUUAAGCCCACUGAGAUUAUGGUAUCAUGAGAAAUAAACAUAGCAGAAAACUGGAAAAUAAGAGAGCAAACUCGGCUCAUUAAGAGACAGCAAAGCAAGCAUUAAUUUGAAAGUGAGGAAGAAUAAGCCAGGUUAUUCCAUAUGUGAGGGAAUAAAUAUUAACAAUGCUGACAACAUUUUUAGGUGGACUAACAAGGGCAAAGGAGCAGAAAACUAGUAGUGAAUGAGGGGUAAGUAAGCAUAUUUUAUGGAUAGAGGGAGAUGAAGCAUUGUGUCAGCAUGAGUUACCUAGAGAAGAAAGAUGAAAAACAUGACUCAUUCACUAUUUGUAGAAGUAUUUUCCAAGUAUUUGGAAACAGACACCAUAGUUCCAGCAUUUAGCAAAUAAAGAUUCUAGAAGAUAGGUUGACAUUAUCCUCCUAAAAGACUAACACCUACAUUUUUAAAGCCCUUUGAGAUAUUUAUGACUAGCCAGGGGGUGCACUUGGAAAUGUGAAAUUUAAUUAGUGAGUCACUACAGAAUUAUGAGGCGUAAAUCAGGUCAGAUUCAUUUUUAUGCAGUAGCUGUUGGUCUUGAUUCAGGUGAGGAACCAAGAGAUCCAACCUAGUAAAUAUUCAGGGAUAUUUGUCUUUUAGUCAGGUUUCAUGUGGACUGGACUGCUGAAUAAUCCACUUCAUUCAUUAACAGUAAUUUUAAGAAAUGAGCCUGAUUCUGUAGUCGGCACACUCAAAAGCCCAUAGAUUAUUGCCCCUGGGAAAGUUUUCUAUCUUAAGCAUGGGAGCAAGGAGGUGGAAACCUAGAUGUGGAGGGUUUGUAUCCUGUUCUGGAGCUGGAGAGCAGGAGGGCACUGAGAGGGCUCUACCCUCAUCCAUCACUGAGCACCUGCAUCAGCUAGAGCUUCACCGUACCUUGUGCUGCACUCUCCAGAAAAGGCUCUACCAGCACUUUUCCAAAGGUGGAUGCACACACAGGCAAGAGGAGCUGGGAAAGGCUUGGUGAUUUAUCUCAAGUUACACAGCAAGUGUUUGGAUUUGUGCUGGGGCAGUAGACGUGGUUUGGCCAAUGGAAAUGAGGUCCUCAAGCCAUCAGCAGAUUUCAAAGAGGUGCUCGUGAUUAUAAAGGUCAUUCUCAGUGCUAGCAUCAUUCCUACUCUGCAGCAGCAGAAUUUCUUCCCUGAAUCCCUCCUGUGCUUCUAGCUCCUUUUAAUGUGAAAAAUCAUUUGAUUUUAUUCUUAUCUUCAGAAAUACUCAUCUCUGCUCCUGUAUUCCCUGUGCUCACCCAUCUUUUCAUCUCCUUCCAUCAGUCAGUCCCUGAUCAUCCUUGCAGGUCCUGCCUCCUGUUCUCUGUUCAGAGUAGAACAACAUUAAAGAAGGCUAGCAGGUACUUGUUUGCAACACGGAGAGCAUGCUUUAUAAAUCCAAGCCCUUGAAAGAGUGAAAUGGAAUUAGCAUCCAAUCACAUUGUGCUGUGGCUGUCUGCUAUCAAAAAGGAAAGUAUAUGAAAUAUCUAAACAAGACAAGGGCUAUUUCAGCUCUUUACAUGUUUCCAUUCAAAACUUUGCACUGAGUACAGCAACUGAGAAUUAAAUGACUGCUCAAAGAAUUCAGCUAUUGUUCAACUUCUUCAUUUAACGCAACUGAUAGUGGUUGCUAUAUGUUUAUAUGCUUAUGCAUUCUUCUUUUUUUCUUUUUGACCAGAAACACAGACAAAAAUGUUCCACCCAGAACAUUUUAUUGUUUUAAAGUAAGGGCAAUGGUGCUCAAGCUGAAGCCUGAAAUCGUAUUAGUCAAGUUUUAAAAACAUGUUCAACUUGGUGAUCUAAAGGAAG